UUCCAGUAGAAGAGGGUGUAGUUGCCAUGGGUGUCGCGGAAGGCCUUGUACCUGGAGAGGGAGAAGCCAUCCCAGCAGAGCUGAAACCAAUGGGUACCGACAAUAAGAAAAAAGGUUUACAGCCAAAGGUUAGGAGAUCAUUGCUGUAUGACAGUCGAGAGGACUCCCUUGGAAGGUUUUUAAACAGGGAUACCCCUUCUGCUAUUUAAGGGUGAGGUGGAGGGGGGAACCAUAUUAGCCAGGAUCCGGCCUCA